CUUCCUAAUAAAAUCACAACAUACACAAGCUAUAAUUCAAUAGUGUACUCGUAGUUUAGAUAAAUCUACAAAUCUACCUCUGGUAUUAGUAGGAUAUUUUAGGUAAAAAAAACCAACUCACUUUUUGGCUUUCUUGAAGUACCUCAUGUUUAUCAACUAGAAAAUAUCUAAUAUCAAAAUACUCCAGUAUAUUCUGUAAAUAACUUCUCAGCAUGCAUGGUCAAUAGAAAUGUCAUGACCUAAAGCCCAUAUUCCUCUGCUACAUUUGGUUUGCUAAUGUCACCGCUGGCCAUUCAUGCACAUGCUAAGGUCCUAGCGCUCUAUCAGAUGUCAAUCACUAACUAGAUGCUGAUAAGAUGUUCGGGGUGUGCUAAUAAUAGUAACUGUGUGAAAUUUGAGAGCUUUCAACAGCAGAUCACUGCUUUAGGAACAGAUGCAAAAUGUGGUCGCAAAUUUAAUUUAAGAUCAACGCUGCAUGUGUACUUUAUGAAGGUGAACAGAAAUAUUGUUUGGAAAUUGCAGUUGCAAACUUCGCAGGAUGCUUGCAUCAAGGUGAUGAUGAUUGGCAGUGACAAAAUAUUUUGCCUUGUGGAUUUUGGUUUGAAAUCACUGCAUUUGAAUUGUUUGCUGGUCAGGUGGAUGGGUAGCAUUAAUUUGGACAGAGCUUGAUCGAGAUGAAAGAUGCUUGAAGAUUAAGAUUCUAUAGAAGAUCUGGACAUCCCCCCUGGGAGGAAAUCAAUGAGGCCACAGAAAAGUUCAAAAGCCAUCCAGCCAGUCACACAGUAUGAACAGAAGAUAAACAGAACAGAACAUGUCAACCAUGUAUCGAAGACCGAAUUAAGUGAAAGUGCUUUCUGGAAAAUGCAGCUCUACUUGGGAACUCCAUCCUGAAUUUGAUGGAUGCGAGCUUUAUGUUUUUAGUAAUUAUAAAAUCAUAUGCACUGAGACAAUUAUUAAUAUAGUUAAAUUUUUAAUUAUAUAAACAUCUAAUCCAAUUACAAACUAAACUUGAUAUUUAAUAUAAAAAGAAAUAUUAAUAAAUUGGUAUUCUUAAUUACAUGCCUAUGUAUGUCUAAGCUGUUAUUUUGAAUUGUA